rnacentral:rRNA from 1 species
AUACGGAGGGUGCAAGCAUUAAUCGGAUUUACUGGGCGUAAAGGGCGCGUAGGCGGGAAAGAAAGUCAAAUGUGAAAUUCCGAUGCUCAACAUCGGACCUGCAUUUGAAACUUCUUUUCUUGAGGGUGGACGGAGAAAGCGGAAUUCCACAAGUAGCGGUGAAAUGCGUAGAUAUGUGGAAGAACACCUGUGGCGAAAGCGGCUUUCUAGUUUACACCUGACGCUGAGGCGCGAAAGCGAGGGGAGCAAACAGGAUUAGAAACCCGGGUAGUCC